GAGACCCUGUCUCUAAAAACAAACAAAAAAGCCAGGAGUUUGAGACCAGACGUCUCUACAUAAAAGACAAAAAUUAGCUCGGUGUAGUGGCUCACAUCUGUAGUCCAAGCUACUUGGGAGGCUGUGGUGGUAGGAUCACUUGAGCCCAGGAGGCAGAAGUUGCAGUGAGCUGAGAUUGUGCCACUGCACUCCAGCCUGGACGACAGAACAAGACCCUGUUU
rnacentral:lncRNA from 1 species